GUUCUCCAAGCAUUUUGGUAUAUAAAACUACGGCAAAUCUAAAAACCGUAGUAUUCUAAAAAAACUGAGCUCCCAAACAUAGCCUUAGUGUCAAAAAGAAGUUCUGAAUACUCCGUAGGAGUAGCAUUUUUCCUCUUUUCCACUACUACUAAAUUAAAUCCAGAACGCUCACAAAUUCUUUAAGUUCCAAUCAAACAUUGCAUACUUCAAAUGUAGGAAUUAAUCAAUCUAAAGGAGGCAAAAAUGGACGGCA
rnacentral:lncRNA from 1 species